rnacentral:rRNA from 1 species
AGCAGCCGCGGUAAUUCCAGCUCCAAUAGCGUAUAUUAAAGUUGUUGCAGUUAAAAAGCUCGUAGUUGAACUUCGGGGUCUACCCAUUGGUCAGGCUUAAUUGUCUGUACUGGUGAGAUGGAUCUCUACCUUCUGAGGAACUUUCAUGCCAUUUAUUUGGUGUGAUUGGAAAUCAGGACUGUUACUUUGAAAAAAUUAGAAGUGUUUAAAGCAGACUAUCAGUCUGAAUACAUUAGCAUGGAAUAAUGAAAUAGGACGGACUGAUUCUAUUUCGUUGGUUUCUAGGAUCACCGUAAUGAUUAAUAGGGAUAGUUGGGGGCAUUAGUAUUCAAUUGUCAGAGGUGAAAUUCUUGGAUUUAUUGAAGACUAACUACUGCGAAAGCAUUUGCCAAGGAUGUUUUCAUUAAUCAAGAACGAAAGUUAGGGGAUCGAAGACGAUCAGAUACCGUCGUAGUCUUAACCAUAAACUAUGCCGACUAGGGAUCGGACGAAGUUAAUUUUAUAAUGACGCGUUCGGCAC